rnacentral:rRNA from 1 species
GAUGAACGCUGGCGGCGUGCCUAAUACAUGCAAGUCGAGCGAACGGACGAGAAGCUUGCUUCUCUGAUGUUAGCGGCGGACGGGUGAGUAACACGUGGAUAACCUACCUAUAAGACUGGGAUAACUUCGGGAAACCGGAGCUAAUACCGGAUAAUAUUUUGAACCGCAUGGUUCAAAAGUGAAAGACGGUCUUGCUGUCACUUAUAGAUGGAUCCGCGCUGCAUUAGCUAGUUGGUAAGGUAACGGCUUACCAAGGCAACGAUGCAUAGCCGACCUGAGAGGGUGAUCGGCCACACUGGAACUGAGACACAGUCCAGACUCCUACGGGAGGCCGCAGUAGGGAAUCUUCCGCAAGGGGCGAAAGCCUGACCGAGGAACGCCGCGUGAGUGAUGAAGGUCUUCGGAUCGUAAAACUCUGUUAUUAGGGAAGAACAAAUGUGUAAGUAACUGUGCACAUCUUGACGGUACCUAAUCAGAAAGCCACGGCUAACUACGUG